GAUGAACGCUGGCGGCGUGCCUAAUACAUGCAAGUCGAGCGAACGGACGAGAAGCUUGCUUCUCUGAUGUUAGCGGCGGACGGGUGAGUAACACGUGGAUAACCUACCUAUAAGACUGGGAUAACUUCGGGAAACCGGAGCUAAUACCGGAUAAUAUUUUGAACCGCAUGGUUCAAAAGUGAAAGACGGUCUUGCUGUCACUUAUAGAUGGAUCCGCGCUGCAUUAGCUAGUUGGUAAGGUAACGGCUUACCAAGGCAACGAUGCAUAGCCGACCUGAGAGGGUGAUCGGCCACACUGGAACUGAGACACGGUCCAGACUCCUACGGGAGGCAGCAGUAGGGAAUCUUCCGCAAUGGGCGAAAGCCUGACGGAGCAACGCCGCGUGAGUGAGGAAGGUCUUCGGAUCGUAAAACUCUGUUAUUAGGGAAGAACAUAUGUGUAAGUAACUGUGCACAUCUUGGCGGUACCUAAUCAGAAAGCCACGGCUAACUACGUG
rnacentral:rRNA from 1 species